ACUCCUACGGGAGGCAGCAGUGGGGAAUUUUGCGCAAUGGGGGAAACCCUGACGCAGCAACGCCGCGUGGAGGAUGAAGUCCCUUGGGACGUAAACUCCUUCG
rnacentral:rRNA from 1 species